rnacentral:lncRNA from 1 species
AUGGCUCCUGGGCUCUGCUUUGCUCAGCUGGCAGAGUCCAGUGGUAAAUUCGUCUGCCUUUCCUUCCUCCCUUCCUCCCUCCCUCCUCCUUCCCUUCCUUCCUUCCUCCCUUCCUCCCUCCCUCCUCCCUUCCUUCCUUCCUUCCUUCCUUCCUCCUCCCUCCUUCCCUCCUCCCUUCCUUCCUUCCUUCCUUCUUCCCUUCCUCCCUCCCUCCUCCUUCCUUCCUUCCUCCUUCCUUCCUUCCUUCCUUCCUUCCUCCUUCCUCCCUUCUUCCUUCCUUCCUCCCUUCCUUCCUUCUUCCUUCCUUUCUCCCUUCAUCCCUCCCUUCCUCCUUCCCUCCCUCCCUUCCUCCCUCCCUCCUCCCUUCCUUCCUCCCUUCCUUCCUUCCUUCCUUCCUUCUCCCUCCCUUCCUUCCUUUCUCCCUUCAUCCCUCCCUUCCUUCCUUUCUCCCUUCAUCCCUCCCUUCCUUCCUCCUCCCUCCUCCCUCCCUCCUCCCUCCUCCCUCCCUCCCUUCCUUCCUUCCUUCCUCCCUUCUUCCCUUCCUCCCUCCCUCCCUCCCUUCCUCCCUUCCUUCCUUUCUUCCUUCCUUCCUUCCUCCCUUCCUUCCUUCCUUCCUUCCUUCCUUCCUUCCUUCCUUCCUUCCCUUCCUCCCUUCCUUCCUCCCUCCUCCCUCCUCCCUUCCUCACUUCCUUCCUCCCUUCCUUCCUUCCUUCCUCCCUUCCUUCUUCCCUCCCUUCCUUCCUUCUUCCUUCAUCCCUCUCUCCUCCCUUCCUUCCUUCCUUCUUCCCUUCCUCCCUCUCUCCUCCCUUCCUUCCUUCAUCCCUGCCAUCUCAUCCCUCCCUUCAUCCCUCCCUUCCUCCCUUCCUCCCUUCCUCCCUCCUCCCUCCCUCCUCCCUUCCUUCCUCCCUCCCUUCCUUCUUUCCUUCCUUUCUUCUUCCCUUCCUCCCUUCCUUCCUCCCUCCCUUCCUUCUUUCCUUCCUUUCUUCUUCCCUUCCUCCCUUCCUUCCUCCCUCCCUUCCUUCCUUUCUCCCUUCAUCCCUCCCUUCCUCCCUCCCUCCUCCCUCCCUUCCCCUUCCUUCCUUCCUUCCUUCCUUCCUUCCUUCCUUCCUUCCCCGCAUGUGCUGUAGUGAUUACAACAAGAGGAGCUUGAGAUCGACAGGCAUUGGUCAACUUAAAGGCAGGUGCUUGCAGAAGGGCGGGUGUGCAACUAGUGGGGCUGGGUCCAAGCCAGGCAUCUCCCCUCCUAGAGGGGUUCUGGCCACAGCAGAGGCCAGCUCAGGACUCUAG